UCCGUUAUGGUGUAGUGGCUAACAUUAUCGCCUCUCAUCUGGUCCUGUAUAAGAUAGACGCGAUAGCCCAGGGUUCGAUUCCCUGCAACGGAA